UACGUAGGGGGCAAGCGUUGUCCGGAAUUAUUGGGCGUAAAGAGCGCGUAGGCGGUCCGGUAAGUCGGCUGUGAAAGUCAAGGGCUCAACCCUUGAAAGCCGGCCGAUACUGUCGGACUAGAGUCCGGAAGAGGCGAGUGGAAUUCCCGGUGUAGCGGUGAAAUGCGUAGAUAUCGAGAGGAACACCUGCGGCGAAGGCGGGUUGCUGGGCUGACACUGACGCUGAGGCGCGAAAGCCAGGGGAGCGAACGGG
rnacentral:rRNA from 1 species